rnacentral:rRNA from 1 species
CCUACGGGAGGCAGCAGUGGGGAAUAUUGGACAAUGGGCGAAAGCCUGAUCCAGCAAUGCCGCGUGAGUGAUGAAGGCCUUCGGGUCGUAAAGCUCUUUUACCAGGGAUGAUAAUGACAGUACCUGGAGAAUAAGCUCCGGCUAACUCCGUGCCAGCAGCCGCGGUAAUACGGAGGGAGCUAGCGUUGUUCGGAAUUACUGGGCGUAAAGAGUACGUAGGCGGUUAUUCAAGUCAGAGGUGAAAGCCCGGGGCGUCAACCCCGGAACUGCCUUUGAAACUAGAUAACUAGAGUCUUGGAGAGGUUAGUGGAAUUCCGAGUGUAGAGGUGAAAUUCGUAGAUAUUCGGAAGAACACCAGUGGCGAAGGCGACUAACUGGACAAGUACUGACGCUGAGGUACGAAAGCGUGGGGAGCAAACAGGAUUAGAUACCCUGGUAGUCCACGCCGUAAACGAUGAUAACUAGUUGUUCGGUCACUUGGUGACUGAGUGACGCAGCUAACGCAUUAAGUUAUCCGCCUGGGGAGUACGGUCGCAAGAUAAAACUUAAAGGAAUUGACGGCUGNGAGNGCGACGACGACGACGAGGAGAG